AGUGAACGCUGGCGGCGUGCUUAACACAUGCAAGUCGAACGAGAACGGAUUAUAGCUUGCUAUAGUUGUCAGCUAAGUGGCGCACGGGUGAGUAAUGUAUAGGUAAUAUGCCUCUUACUAAGGGAUAACAAAUGGAAACGUUUGCUAAUACCUUAUACUCCUUAUUAACAGAAGUUAAUAAGGGAAAGAUUUAUUGGUAAGAGAUUAGCCUGUAUUGUAUCAGUUAGGUGGUGGGGUAAUGGCUUACCAAGACUAUGACACAUAACUGGUUUGAGAGGAUGAUCAGUCACACUGGAACUGAGACACGGUCCAGACUCCUACGGGAGGCAGCAGUGGGGAAUAUUGCACAAUGGACGAAAGUCUGAUGCAGCAACGCCGCGUGGAGGAUGACACAUUUCGGUGCGUAAACUCCUUUUAUAUGAGAAGAUAAUGACGGUAUUAUAUGAAUAAGCACCGGCUAACUCCGUGCCAGCAGCCGCCGUAA
rnacentral:rRNA from 1 species